GUGACAAGAAGAGUUUCCAAAGGGACAGAGACAUCAGUCUAUAGAUCUGGAACAGUGGGUUUGAAGCACCCCAUGGUGAUUUGCUCAUCUCGCUAAGCUACACACCAGGAGAGCAGCUCUGGAGUUUCCUGUGCAUCAUGGGACCUGGCAGAAAGUGAAGCUGGAUAAGUUUUCUGUGACACAGACCUUGCAAGGUAUAAGCAGAAAUGCCACAGGAAGCCUAGCACAAUGUGAUUGUUACUUGACAAGACAGUGGGAUGAUGAAAAAGGAGCAAAGAUCUUAAGUCUUGAUUCUGGAAGGGAGGAGUGAAAGCAUGAAAAGUUCCAUGAGUGAAGGAGAAGGAAGGCUGUCCUAGUACAUUCUGCUUUGUUAUCCUUUCACACCAAUAACCCAGCUUCCAAA
rnacentral:lncRNA from 1 species